ACACAUUUUCAUUUGCUUAUAUUCACUAAUGGAUCCAAUGAAAAAAUCCUAAUAAUUAUCCUUGAAAAUGCAAAUGAAAACAAUGUAUAUAUAAACUAGUCUCUACUACUCUUGUUUGUUGGUUUCUUUUGAGAAGGGGAGUGAAACCAGAUACCUUACUGUGUAAAUAACAAAUCCAAGUAAGAGCAUUCUCAAAUUUGCCCAAGGAACUCUAGUUCAAAUCCUUCUGACUUGGUACAACUUUGUCUGUUACCCUGGAGAGUAAUAAAGAACUCCCAUUGCAACUGACAAGUUCAUACAAAUUAAAUGGCCACGUCAUGUGGCACCCACAAGCCUAUUUAUUAAAUAUAGCUCUUUUUAUAUAUAUACAAGGAGGCUAAAAAGAAGCAGAGGCAGAUGACCAGACACAGGGCUACCAAAUAAAUGACCUGGAUUGAGUCAUGUUAAGACUUAUCAUCUUUCCUCUCUUAUAAUCUGUUAUGCCUGAAAUAAACAAAAAGAUGCAGUUUCCUGUCUUCCAUGUGUAACUAUAUACAGCAAGUCAAACUGUUUUCAGAGACAUCAUUUGUAAACCAUACACAAAAGGAUGAGAAAUUAGUGUCCAUGCUAACAAAUAUGUGACUAAGAAUUAACCAUGGGUAUUUGGUCCACAUAACCCAGUAUACUGAUGAAACACCAAGGAGAACACAGAAAUCACCUUUAAAGAUUCAAGACAUAACCCCAAAGCAAUUAAAUUUUUACUGAACUGUGUCCAAACACUAUACUAUCACAAAGAAAAUGGAGCAGAAGGUGUGGAUCUCCUUCAAAGAGACUGCAAUCUAUUAGACAAGGCUAAGUACAUGGAAAAUAGCAAACAAUAUAAGAUGGCAUAUAACUGCAAAAUUAUAUAAAAUUAUAGGAAACAGAAGAGUUUAGAGGAGGAGGAGGAGGAGACUAACUUGGGUUGUGGUAAACUGAAAAGGCUUUAUGAGAAGCUGGGACUUAAACAGGCACCUGAGGAAGGAUGGAUAGGCCCAAGUAAAAAGGAAGACUAAGAUCAGUGGGACAGUGCAAAUCAAGUCAGGCAAAAGGAGUGAGGUUACACAAUGGAAGAAUGAAAAGGGCAAUUUGAUCACGGUGGUAGAAAAUGAUUUUCAGAGGGCAGUAGGAAAUAAGGUUAAAAUAGUCUGGGAUAUCGUUAAGUUCAGACUAUGGAUCUCUUCAAUAAAUCUAUCUAAACUUUUUUGGAGUCAAUUUACAUGUUUGCCUGACAUAAUUUCUUAGUGUGAUAAAGUCUAUAAAAUCUCAUUCCAAACAAUUACAGAUAGAAAAGAAAUGUAAAAUUUCUUAUUCUGGCAGUAAAGUUGUUUUUAUUAGGGAAAACAAAUUGAUGGUGAUCCAGUCAAGGGAAAAAACGGUAUUUUAUUCAUCUUUGAAUGCCUGACAAAGAUAAAGAGUCAAAAUUUGUUGAAGAACAGCAAGCGUUUUCCAGAACAAGAGCUGCAUCUGUAGUCAGUGACCAUGGGAAAGGAAAAUGCCAGCUGGACUACUCAGAAACUGAAACUGAAGAGAGAACUGGUUAACAGGUUCUCCCUGAGACUUCAGAUAGAAAGCUCUGAGGAACCACAGGAGGCAAAAAUCAAUGAAAAGUUCCAAAUGCUGAUAGUCUAUCCUUCAGUGCUGUUGCUGUUUCUAAGGAAGAGUAAGACUACAUGGAAUAAGGAGAUUAAAAGGAUAACAGAAAUACAAGGGAGAAAAAUGAGGAGAGGUAUGUGGACUGGAGUUAGCUUCACAAACCCAAGGGAAAUUUCAUUUGAAAGAUUUACAAAUACUACUUCUCAUCACGGAGUAAGACAAUGCUUGCCCAAAAUCCCAGUUCUCAAUCUGUGCUCUAUUCAGUUUUUAUUCCUCAUUCCUCAUUAUCCCUCAAUUCCAGUUCAAGUAAGAAAAUGAAAGUUGGCACCAUAAGAGCAAGAGCCCACAAUUCUACGUAUACUAUAUGGCCAUGGAAGAAAACUGCUACCAAAAUAAAAAGUACCACCUUACUA